AUACUUACCUGGCAGGGGAGAUACUAUGAUCACGAAGGUGGUUUUCCCAGGGCGAGGCUUAUCCAUUGCACUCCGGUUGUGCUGACCCCUGCGAUUUCCCCAAAUGUGGGAAACUCGGCUGCAUAAUUUGUGGUAGUGGGGGACUGCAUUUGGGCUUUCCCCUG
rnacentral:snRNA from 1 species